GGGGCAGCAUUUUAGUUUGCUUGCAAACUGAAGAUGGCGAGCGGCGCACGGGUGAGUAACACGUAUCCAACCUGCCGAUAACUCCGGAAUAGCCUUUCGAAAGAAAGAUUAAUACCGGAUGGCAUACGAAUAUCGCAUGAUAUUUUUAUUAAAGAAUUUCGGUUAUCGAUGGGGAUGCGUUCCAUUAGUUUGUUGGCGGGGUAACGGCCCACCAAGACUACGAUGGAUAGGGGUUCUGAGAGGAAGGUCCCCCACAUUGGAACUGAGACACGGUCCAAACUCCUACGGGAGGCAGCAGUGAGGAAUAUUGGUCAAUGGGCGAGAGCCUGAACCAGCCAAGUAGCGUGAAGGAUGAAGGCUCUAUGGGUCGUAAACUUCUUUUAUAUGGGAAUAAAGUUUUCCACGUGUGGAAUUUUGUAUGUACCAUAUGAAUAAGGAUCGGCUAACUCCGUGCCAGCAGCCGCGGUAAUACGGAGGAUCCGAGCGUUAUCCGGAUUUAUUGGGUUUAAAGGGAGCGUAGGUGGAUUGUUAAGUCAGUUGUGAAAGUUUGCGGCUCAACCGUAAAAUUGCAGUUGAAACUGGCAGUCUUGAGUACAGUAGAGGUGGGCGGAAUUCGUGGUGUAGCGGUGAAAUGCUUAGAUAUCACGAAGAACUCCGAUUGCGAAGGCAGCUCACUAGACUGUUACUGAC
rnacentral:rRNA from 1 species